rnacentral:siRNA from 1 species
UGUCGGAGGUGCUAAUUCCUGCAC